GACGAACGCUGGCGGCGUGCCUAACACAUGCAAGUCGAACGGAACUGUUUUGAAAGAUUUCUUCGGAAUGAAUUUGAUUUAGUUUAGUGGCGGACGGGUGAGUAACGCGUGAGUAACCUGCCUUCAAGAAGGGAAUAACAUUCUGAAAAGAAUGCUAAUACCGCAUGACAUAUCGGAACCACAUGGUUUUGAUAUCAAAGAUUUUAUCGCUUGAAGAUGGACUCGCGUCCGAUUAGUUAGUUGGUGAGGUAACGGCUCACCAAGACCGCGAUCGGUAGCCGGACUGAGAGGUUGAACGGCCACAUUGGGACUGAGACACGGCCCAGACUCCUACGGGAGGCAGCAGUGGGGGAUAUUGCGCAAUGGGGGCAACCCUGACGCAGCAACGCCGCGUGAAGGAUGAAGGUUUUCGGAUUGUAAACUUCUUUUAUUAAGGACGAAAAAUGACGGUACUUAAUGAAUAAGCUCCGGCUAACUACGUG
rnacentral:rRNA from 1 species